AAGAUGCAAUGAAUCUCUCUUGCCUCGAAGAUAGGGCUUUGCUCUUCUGUUAUAGAGGUUUCCCUUCUAUCUACUGAAUAGUCCAUGAAGUAUCAACAUUUAGUGAUUCCCAGAAGAAAGUUUUCAGCUGGAGAUGUGCCACAGGUGAUCUUCAUAGGACUGAGAGAAUUGAAGCCAUGGAAACUUGAGGACUGCAAAUGGGAUGGUGCAUUCAGACAGCCUAAGAAGCCAGGAUGCCUGGAGCUUCAGAAUGAAAAGUGUUUUUCCCUUUGGAACUGGUACUGUGUUCUAUGGGAACUAAGCUAAGUUGUGAACCUAAUCUCUUUCCCCUUACCAGAUACUUAGAUAAUAUAGGAGAGGAGGAGAAUUAUGCCUCCCAUGUAUUUGGGGAUUAAAUUUUUGUAUAUGUGAUUGUGCUUUCUGAAAUAAAUAUU